rnacentral:tRNA from 2 species
GCUCCGAUAGCUUAACUGGAUAAAGCCACCGCCUCCUAAGCGGUAGACUGGAGGUUCGAAUCCUCUUCGGGGCA